ACUCUUUACAGUGUAACUUGUCAAGUGUUAAAGGAAAUGCACUCGGUUAGAGUUACUAAAACACUAUAAUGCAGUGUUAAUGAAAAUUCUCCAAACUGAGUGUAAAAAAGUACUCUGAAAAGCUCCGCCCCCUUGCACUUUGUGCCAGACCGAAGAGAAUUUUAUCGGCGCCAUUUUCAACUUCUCCGCCUUGCUGGAAAAGUCUCGGACAGCACCACCACAACAUGUGAGAGAGAUGUAUGCUCAAGGCAUGAUUGAAAAGUUCCCAAACCUGCGUGAUCCUUAUUCCAAAAAUGGAUAUUGGCUACUUAGCAUGGAGGCUUAAAACCAUCCAGAGGAAGAGCACCUUAUCAGAGGGGAGAAGAUCAUCAUGUCAGCUGACUGGGUGUGGACCAACAGCCAGAGGAGAUGCUUCAUUUAACCCUGAGGUGACCCUAAGAGAAGAGCCAUAUAAGGAAGCUAAUUCCUUCAUGAAAUACUCUUCUGAUGAGGCCGCCAUCAGGAACAAAAUGAAGAUGAUGUUUGAUUACCGUUGCAAGAUGGUCCUGGACGAAAACAGAUCAUCCAGCGUCUUGACUGAAUUUCCUCGCUUCAGAGAUGUCAGAGGCUUGAUUGAUCAAGACUUCAUUCUGGAAUUUGGAGAAGAUGUAGCUACCAGGUUUUUGGAGAGGU